rnacentral:rRNA from 1 species
GAACGAGAAAGUGGAGCAAUCCAUGAGUAAAGUGGCGACCGGGUGAGUAACACGUGACUAACCUACCUUCGAGUGGGGGAUAACCUAGGGAAACCUGGGCUAAUACCGCAUAACAUCUUUGGAGUGGAAAUUCUGGAGAUCAAAGGGGCAAUUCGCUUGAAGAGGGGGUCGCGGCUGAUUAGCUAGUUGGCGGGGUAAUGGCCCACCAAGGCUUUGAUCGGUAGCCGGCCUGAGAGGGCGCACGGCCACACUGGAACUGAAACACGGUCCAGACUCCUACGGGAGGCAGCAGUGGGGAAUUUUGCGCAAUGGGGGAAACCCUGACGCAGCAACGCCGCGUGGAGGAUGAAGUCCCUUGGGACGUANACUCCUUUCGACCGGGACGAUAAUGACGGUACCGGUGGAAGAAGCCCGGCUAACUUCGUG